ensembl:lncRNA
GAUGCAGUCCCAACAGUUUUCAUGUAUCGCCCUAAGCCAAAGAAGAGGAAACCCCCUUCUGUGAGGGUGCCUCCAGAACCAAGUGCAACGGACCACACAUAUUGCGCCAAAUUAAACUUCGAGAUUGAUGGAGAAAUUGAGGUGGAUUUCAAGAGUGAUGAAAAGGACAUGACAGGAGACAGAGAGAGCAAUCAAGAGGCCACUUUGCCAGGAGCAGCUGCUCCAGGGACCAGACUGCUAGGGACUGAUGGGGCGACUGUGGAGGACCUAAUAAGGCAACUAGAAAAGGACAAAUGAAUGAGAAGGAGAGCAGAGAGGGCUCUUGUAAAACAAAAAAGAAUCAAUUUGGCACUAAGAAAGAGAAACAAUUCAGUCAACAAGAAGUUAAAACGAAAAAGCCAUACAUGUUCAAUUCACCGCCUAUCAUAAUCAGCAUUGUUGAAGCGGCGG